rnacentral:lncRNA from 10 species
UGUCAGACGCAGCCGUAGACACCAGCUCCGAAAUCACCACCAAGGACUUACAGGAGAAGAAGGAAGUUGUGGAAGAGGCAGAAAAUGGAAGAGACGCCCCUGCUAACGGGAAUGCUAAUGAGGAAAAUGGGGAGCAGGAGGCUGACAAUGAGGUAGAUGAAGAAGAGGAAGAAGGUGAUGGUGAGGAAGAGGAUGGAGAUGAAGAUGAGGAAGCUGAGACAGCUACGGGCAAGCGGGCAGCUGAAGAUGAUGAGGAUGACGAUGUCGAUACCAAGAAGCAGAAGACCGACGAGGAUGACUAGACAGCAAAAAAGGAAAAGUUAAACUAAAAAAAAA